rnacentral:piRNA from 1 species
UCGAUAAUUACCCAGCACUAACGCUUC